rnacentral:rRNA from 1 species
AUUGAACGCUGGCGGCAUGCUUUACACAUGCAAGUCGAACGGCAGCGCGGGCUUCGGCCUGGCGGCGAGUGGCGAACGGGUGAGUAAUAUAUCGGAACGUACCCAAGAGUGGGGGAUAACGUAGCGAAAGUUACGCUAAUACCGCAUACGAUCUACGGAUGAAAGCAGGGGACCGCAAGGCCUUGUGCUCCUGGAGCGGCCGAUAUCUGAUUAGCUAGUUGGUGAGGUAAAGGCUCACCAAGGCAACGAUCAGUAGCUGGUCUGAGAGGACGACCAGCCACACUGGAACUGAGACACGGUCCCAGACUCCUACGGGAGGCAGCAGUGGGGAAUUUUGGACAAUGGGGGCAACCCUGAUCCAGCAAUGCCGCGUGAGUGAAGAAGGCCUCGGGUUGUAAAGCUCUUUUGUCAGGGAAGAAAAGGUCGUGGCUAAUAUCCACGACUGCUGACGGUACCUGAAGAAUAAGCACCGGCUAACUACGUGCCAGCAGCCGCGGUAAUACGUAGGGUGCAAGCGUUAAUCGGAAUUACUGGGCGUAAAGCGUGCGCAGGCGGUUUCGUAAGUCUGUCGUGAAAUCCCCGGGCUUAACCUGGGAAUGGCGAUGGAGACUGCGAGGCUAGAGUUUGGCAGAGGGGGGUAGAAUUCCACGUGUAGCAGUGAAAUGCGUAGAGAUGUGGAGGAACACCGAUGGCGAAGGUAGCCCCUGGGUCAAAACUGACGCUCAUGCACGAAAGCGUGGGG